rnacentral:rRNA from 1 species
GGACAACCUGCCCUCGGGUGGGGGAUAACCCCCGGGAAACUGGGGCUAAUCCCCCCAUAGGGGAUGGGGUACUGGAAUGUCCCAUCUCCGAAAGCGCUUAGCGCCCGAGGAUGGGUCUGCGGCGGAUUAGGUUGUUGGUGGGGUAACGGCCCACCAAGCCGAAGAUCCGUACGGGCCAUGAGAGUGGAAGCCCGGAGAUGGACCCUGAGACACGGUUCCAGGCCCUACGGGGCGCAGCAGGCGCGAAACCUCCGCAAUGCGGGAAACCGCGACGGGGUCAGCCGGAGUGCUCGCGCAUCGCGCGGGCUGUCGGGGUGCCUAAAAAGCACCCCAUAGCAAGGGCCGGGCAAGGCCGGUGGCAGCCGCCGCGGUAAUACCGGCGGCCCGAGUGGCGGCCACUUUUAUUGGGCCUAAAGCGUCCGUAGCCGGGCUGGUAAGUCCUCCGGGAAAUCUGGUCGCUUAACGAUCAGACUGCCGGAGGAUACUGCCAGCCUAGGGACCGGGAGAGGCCGGGGGUAUUCCCGGGGUAGGGGUGAAAUCCUGUAAUCCCGGGAGGACCACCUGUGGCGAAGGCGCCCGGCUGGAACGGGUCCGACGGUGAGGGACGAAGGCCAGGGGAGCGAACCGGAUUAGAUACCCGGGUAGUCCUGGCUGUAAACGAUGCGGACUAGGUGUCACCGAAGCUACGAGCUUCGGUGGUGCCGGAGGGAAGCCGUUAAGUCCGCCGCCUGGGGAGUACGGCCGCAAGGCUGAAACUUAA